UGAUUUUGAAGAGAUUGUUUUAGUAUUAUCUUAUGUCUGUAGUAUUAUUUUGUGGAUAGCGGUGUUAGUUUAUUUUGCAUACUGUACUAGUCUUUACGCAUUUAUGUUUUGUGAUUGCUAUACUGUUAUCAGUCCUAAGCCAGGGGUCUAUUGGAAAAAGCCUCUCUAAUUCACCUGAGGGAGUGAUAUGGUCUGCGUACACUUCAUCUUCC
rnacentral:lncRNA from 1 species